ACUUACGGUCAUACCACCCUGAAUAUACCCAAUCUCAUUUGAUCUUGGAAGUCAAACAGGGUUGGGCCUGGUUAGUACUUCAAUGGGAGACUUCCUGGGAAUACCAGGAGCUGUAAGCU
ensembl:rRNA 5S_rRNA 5S ribosomal RNA